UUUUUUUUUUUUUUUUGUCUUUUCUAGGGCUGCACCUGCUGCAUAUGGAGGUUCCUAGGCUAGAGGUCGAAUCAGAGCUGUAGCCGCCGGCCUAUGACACAGCCACAGCAACUCAGGAUCUGAGCCAUGUCCGCAACCUACACCACAGCUCAUGGCAAUGCUGGAUCCAUAACCCCCUGAGCAAGGCCAGGGACUGAUAACAUAACCUCCUGGUUCCUAGUCAGGUUCAUUAACCACUGAGCCACAACGGGAACUCCCUGAUCAGAAAAUUUUAAAACAAGAAAAUAUCCGAUAACAAACAUAAAGGUACACUAAUACUGUAUGGAGUUUUAUAUACUCAAAAGAAUAAAACAAACAAUACCAGGAAUUAGCAAGGAUAUGAAGCAAACUGCCAGCAGGAGUGCAAAUUGAAACAACCACUUUAUAAAAAUGUUUGUAUCUACUAAAACUGCUAAGAAAAUAUAUAGAAAGAAAAAAAGAAAUAAAAAGCCUAAUAAAAAUAAAUAACAUGACAGAAAGCUAAACCAAACACAAAAAGGUUAAAGUGAAGCAAAUUUAUAUUAAAACAACAAAACUACAACAUAGCAAUUUUACUCCUAUAGAAAUACCCAACAGAAGUGGGUACAUAGGUUCAUCAAAAGAGAGAUGGAAGCAUAUUCGCAGCAGCAUUUUUCCUAAUAUCCCAAAACCAGGACAAUCCAAAUGCCUUUGAGGGAAUAUUAGUACAGAUAAGUAAACUUAAACUCAGACAACUGAACACUAUACAGCAGUGAGAAACAGCAGGUCUACAGCCAUAUACAAUGAUAGCACCAAAUCUCAAAAACAAUGUGAGCUGAGGAAGUCAGAUACCAAAGAAUGUAUAUGAUUCCAUAUACCACUCACACAAAACUCUCACAAAGAUAAAACUCUUCUACAGUGUUGUAAGUCAAUAUCAGAGAUUACCUUGGGGUGACAGGUGGGGCACAGAAGAGCAAUUUAGUGACUAAAGGGUCACCAAGGGUAUUUCUGUGGUUCUAAUUCCUGAUCUAGAGCUGGUCAUGUGGGAGUAUUCACUUUGUCAAAAUUCGCUGAGCUAAAAAAUAAAAAAGGACACUCAAAUUCAAUAAUGAAUUACUAUAUAAGCUUUGGCUAGGAGAUUGAUUGGAUCCAGAAAAAUUUAUACUACUAAAUACUAACUUGAUACAGAAGGUAAAUAUGUAUCAAGAAGUUCCUUGAAGAACUUUUUGUAUUUGUAUGCAUAAUUUUUGUAUUCAUAAAAAAUAGAAAUCAACUAUUUUCUACUAACAAAUUACGGCACAAUGUACGACACAAUAGAAUCCUACUGGACAUUUAACAUAAUCAGAGCUAAUAUAUUCUGAUACAGAAAUGCAUCAAGAUGUUAAGUUAAAAUACCAAAUUGUAACAAAAUGCACAAUAUACUCCCAUUCUUAUAAAAGUGAAUAAGAUAGAGGAUCAUUCAACAAACUUUUCAUAGUGUUGUUAUCAUGAGGGUGAAAGUAUGGGGGAUGUUUGCUCUCUACAUUUCAUGUUCAGAAUGGCUUCUAUGUUUGAGGUAAGUAUGUAACGCACUUGCGUAAUCUGAAAAACUACAUAAAAAAUGAAUGAGAUGAAAAUACUUCCAGAAGGCUUAUGCCUUAAAUCUUUUAAAAGCCCACAGCUGUUUCAUCCUUUAUGCAAAAACACUUGUAGAAAACAAGGUGAAAAUAAAUUUGAUUAGAUAGGACUUCCUUCUCCACAUCCACAUCCUCCAUAUUUGGUUAUUUCCUCCCUGAUUCCACCUCAUUUCUUAAACUGGAACAUCUGACUAGCUGAAAAGGGGGAAUUAAUAGAAUGAUCGAUCAUUAAAAUUCCUUCCAACCUUGAAAUCUUUCAUUUUUUUGCCCUUCCUUUUUCUUCUCUCUACCUCAACAGUAAUGCAGAUAUGCACUGUCCAUUGUAUGCAGUGAUCCUUAGGCACUGGAGAUACAUCCCAAGAGCCCCAGUGGAUUCCUGAAAUCCCGAAAGUGUGAAACCCUAUGUAUACAUACAUACUAUGAUAAAGUUUAAUUUAUAAAUUUGGUACAGUAAGGGGUUAAUAGCAAUAACACAAUAAAAUAGAACAAUUAUAACAAUAUACUGUAAUAAAAGUUACACAGAUGUGGUCUCUAUCAAAAUAUUAUAAAAAUUUAAUACCUUUUCCAUCUUAACUAAGUAUUUACCAUGCAGUGUAGCCACAACUUUUGCAAUUUGAGGUAUAACAGCAAAAUCACCACAAGUUUUUUCUUUCUUCACAGUUUCAGAAACAGAAGAUUUGUUCUUACUGAAGAUCUUAGCAACCUCAGUGUAUGAUUUUUUUUUUCCUUCCUUAAGUUGAGCACUUUUACCUUUUCACUUAAAAAAGCACUUUACAGCUUUUCUUUGGCACAUCCAGAUUGCCAGUAUCACUACUCUUGAGCUUUGGGGCACUUGAGAACAAUCACUGGAAUACCAUGACAACAGGUCUGAAAACCAAGAUAGCUACCAAAUGACUAAGGGAUGUGA
ensembl:lncRNA